AGUAUGAGAAACUGAUUUUCGGGAAAGGCACCAAAGUGACCGUGGAACCAAAAAAUCCAGAGCCUUCCUCUCCUUCUGUUUUUGUUGUGAAAUCGGCAAACGCAAAACCAAGCGAUGGCAACAAGUUGACGGCGGCUUGUUUAGUUAAGGAUUUCUUCCCCAAGAACAUAGAAGUAAACAUGAGUCAAGAGACAAACACUGUCUACAAAUCGAAAGAAGGAAUUCUCUCUUCGAACGGGAAAUACAGCAUGAUCCAGGUGGUCAAGGUAGAACCCAAUGAAGAAGUGGGCUGCUAUGUUAGACAUGAGGGAGUGAACUAUAAUCAAACAAAGCCUCAAUCAGCUACCCCCCUGGCCUCAACCAAUAACACUCAAGUGUGUGAAUCUUCAAAUUCCACGGUCGAAGAGCCAAACAUGGAAAAAGUGAACAUGCUGUCAGUGACUGUGCUGGGCCUGCGAGUUCUGCUUGCCAAAAGCAUCGCCUUCAACAUGCUCAUGACGGUCAAGUUGUUCAUUUUCUGAGGUUGUGACGAGUGAACCAGC